rnacentral:rRNA from 1 species
CAGGAGAAAUUCUGGCUAAUACGGCAUACGUACUGCAAUUUUGAAAGUAGCAGUAGAAAGAAUGCCUCUCCUUGGAAGCAUUUACCAAAUGAUGAGCCUGCGUAGCAUUAGUUUGAUGGUGGGGUAAUGGCCUACCAUGACUACGAUGCUUAGCUGGUCUGAGAGGAUGAUCAGUCACACUGGAACUGAGACACGGUCCAGACUGCUACGGGAGGCAGCAGUGGGGAAUAUUGCGCAAUGGGGGAAACCCUGACGCAGCAAUGCCGAGUGAGUGAGGAAGGCCUUCGGGUUGUAAAGCUCUGUCAGAAGGGAAUAAUGGUGUAGGGUCCAAUAGGCCUUACAUUUGAAGGUACCUUCAAAGGAAGCACCGGCUAACUUCGUGCUAGCAGCCGCGGUAAUACGAAGGGUGCAAGCGUUGUUCGGAUUUAUUGGGCGUAAAGCGCGCGCAGGCGGAUUGUUAAGUCAGAUGUGAAAUCUCGGGGCUCAACCUCGAAACUGCGUCUGAAACUGAUAAUCUAGAAUCU